rnacentral:rRNA from 1 species
AGGACGAACGCUGGCGGCGUGCUUAACACAUGCAAGUCGAACGGUGAAGCCUUUCGGGGUGGAUCAGUGGCGAACGGGUGAGUAACACGUGAGUAAUCUGCCCUUGACUCUGGGAUAACUUCGGGAAACCGUGGCUAAUACCGGAUAUGACGCAUGGUCGCAUGGUCUGUGUGUGGAAAGAUUUAUUGGUCAGGGAUGAGCUCGCGGCCUAUCAGCUUGUUGGUGGGGUAAUGGUCUACCAAGGCGACGACGGGUA